rnacentral:other from 1 species
CAAGCCCUGCGGUGUUCGUGGCACAGCAACUUGGGUCGCCUCCUUAAUGACAAUAUGAAGGGAGCUUGACCCGUCCGAAUGGGCGCCAGGCCGAUUUGUUUCGGAAGGCGGAAGUUCGGCGGUAGCACCCACCUGCUUAAAAAAAGGCAGCCGCACCCCAACAGCAUUGACGGCACAGGCGGAGCUUGU